rnacentral:rRNA from 1 species
AUUGAACGCUGGCGGCAGGCCUAACACAUGCAAGUCGAGCGGAUGAAGGGAGCUUGCUCCUGGAUUCAGCGGCGGACGGGUGAGUAAUGCCUAGGAAUCUGCCUGGUAGUGGGGGAUAACGUCCGGAAACGGGCGCUAAUACCGCAUACGUCCUGAGGGAGAAAGUGGGGGAUCUUCGGACCUCACGCUAUCAGAUGAGCCUAGGUCGGAUUAGCUAGUUGGUGGGGUAAAGGCCUACCAAGGCGACGAUCCGUAGCUGGUCUGAGAGGAUGAUCAGUCACACUGGAACUGAGACACGGUCCAGACUCCUACGGGAGGCAGCAGUGGGGAAUAUUGGACAAUGGGCGAAAGCCUGAUCCAGCCAUGCCGCGUGUGUGAAGAAGGUCUUCGGAUUGUAAAGCACUUUAAGUGGGGAAGAAGAGCAGUAAGUUAAUACCUUGCUGUUUUGACGUUACCAACAGAAUAAGCACCGGCUAACUUCGUG